rnacentral:rRNA from 1 species
AUACGGAGGGUCCGAGCGUUAUCCGGAAUCAUUGGGUUUAAAGGGACCGUAGGCGGGAAUCUAAGUCAGUGGUGAAAUCUUGCAGCUCAACUGUAAAAUUGCCAUUGAUACUGGAUUUCUUGAAUUAGUGUGAAGUGGUUAGAAUGUGUAGUGUAGCGGUGAAAUGCAUAGAUAUUACACAGAAUACCAAUUGCGAAGGCAGAUCACUAACACUAUAUUGACGCUAAGGGACGAAAGCGUGGGGAGCGAACAGGAUUAGAAACCCCAGUAGUCC